rnacentral:rRNA from 1 species
GCCAGAGCCAUAUCUCCCUGCAGUUCUCGCCUGGUUUCCCAUUGAUGCUAAGCAGGGUUGAGCCGGGCCAGUACCUGGAUGGGUACUGUUUGGGAAAGCUAAAGUUGCUGCUGGAA